rnacentral:lncRNA from 1 species
CCCCUGUGGUUUUGUUUUUAUCUUUUCGGUAGCUUUUUUCUUAAUAUUUCGUUAAAUUAUAUACAAAAAACUUCAGAUACCCACAUAGAUUUAUCGAAUAUUUACUUUAGUACCCUUUAAUUUUAACUUUGUCACUGAUUUAAGAAAAAAAAUAAUAAAAUUGAUAAGAAAAAAAAAAAUGAAACCACAUGGGGGGCAAAUUGAUACACUUUAAACCACAGGGGGGUUUUUGAAGUUAUCCUUUUUUUUUUGAAAAAAUAAAGUUCUUAAUUGUCGAAU